CUGCNGUCGACGAUUCCUACGGGAGGCAGCAGUGAGGAAUAUUGGACAAUCAGCGAAAGCUGGAUCCAGCAACGCCGCGUGGACGAUGAAGGCCUUCGGGUUGUAAAGUCCUUUUCAGAGGGAAGAGGAAGGACGGUACCUCUGGAAUAAGUCUCGGCUAACUACGUGCCAGCAGCCGCGGUAACACGUAGGAGGCAAGCGUUAUCCGGAUUCAUUGGGCGUAAAGCGCACGCAGGCGGCUAGGUAAGUCGGGUGUGAAAGCCCCGGACUUAAUCCGGGGAGGUCAUUCGAUACUGCUUGGCUUGAGAGCGGGAGAGGGAAGUGGAAUUCUCGGUGUAGUGGUGAUAUGCGUAGAUAUCGAGAGGAACACCAGUGGCGAAGGCGGCUUCCUGGCCCGUUUCUGACGCUAAGGUGCGAAAGCGUGGGGAGCAAACGGACUUAGAUACUCCGGUAGUCCACGCCGUAAACGAUGAAUGUUAGCCGUCGGGUAGCAUGCUAUUCGGUGGCGCAGCUAACGCAUUAAACAUUCCGCCUGGGGAGUACGGUCGCAAGAUUAAAACUCAAAGGAAUUGACGG
rnacentral:rRNA from 1 species